rfam:Camelus ferus unplaced genomic scaffold scaffold1286, whole genome shotgun sequence.
GAGGGUAUAGCUCAGUGGUAGAGUGCCUAUCUAGCAUACACAAGGUCCUGGGUUCAAUCCCCAGUACCUCCA